UACGUAGGCAGCGAGCGUUGUUCGGAGUUACUGGGCGUAAAGCGUGCGUAGGCGGUGGUGCAAGUCUGUUGUGAAAUCUCCCGGCUCAACCGGGAGGGUGCGGCGGAAACUGUGCUGCUGGAGUACGGGAGAGGCAGGCGGAAUUCCUGGUGUAGCGGUGAAAUGCGUAGAUAUCAGGAGGAACACCCGUGGUGUAGACGGCCUGCUGGACCGUGACUGACGCUGAGGCACGAAAGCGUGGGGAGCAAACAGG
rnacentral:rRNA from 2 species